ensembl:lncRNA
AUAUCUGACAGUGGGGACAGUAUAGAAACCAAACAGGAUCAGGUAGAGAUUAGAAAUUCUGAGGGAAAAUUCAUAAACAGUCGUUGUCCAAUAAAACCUAAUAUAGCACUGAAUCCUCCAUCUGAAAAUAUUAUAAACUCUGAUUUCUUGAAUGCACCACAGAGUUUAAGUCACGAGGGGGAAACACAGGAAGACAAUCUAACCCAUGACCUCCAAGAGAAAACCGCAACAGCACAGGCUCAGCUGCCAGAAAAUUCAUGUUCACAUACCUGUGAAAUGAAUAAGGAUGAAACACUUUCACACCCCGAGACAGAAGUUAGCAUGUCCAGUCUGGAAAACUCAUUUUUGUCUUUUCAAACAGUGUCAGUAAGUUUGACAGACCAACAGACCAGCACUAGUGUAGCUCAGUCGUGCGAAGAGCAUGAUUUUGGUGAAAAUGCAUCUAUAUCAACGAGCCAUGCAUCCUCAGAUGAAGACAAAAUAUCGGAAGCGUUACAUGAUGAUUCAGCUACAAAAGGAAAUGAAAAAAGCUCUGUGUCUUGUUUAGAAACUGCGAAGCAAAUGGAUGUCACAAGAACUGAAAGUUCUCUAGAAACUCAGAAAGAAAGUAAUGACUCUAUAGAAGUGAUGAACAACUCCAAUGAAGAAGAAGCAAAACAGUCGGCUAAAAUUGAAGUUGUUGGUGUGAAAGCUGAAUUAGUGACAAAAGCAGCAGCGAGUAACUGUCACAUACUCAGUGACAUGUUUGUGAAGCUUGAGGAUAAAGACACAUUAAAAGAUACAGAAAUUAUUUUCCCAGAAAAAGUAGAGCAUGAUGAAAUGGAAGCUGCAGUCUCAAAGGAGGAUUCCAAUUUAGACACUACUGAGGUAAAAAACUGGGAAAUCAUGGUUGAGGAAGAGGAGAGAGACUUGUUGACAGGUGAAGAUGAGAGCGAGGCAUUGAUUUUAGAAACAGAAGAUGUGCACGUAGUGGAUGAUGACCAGGCUGAGGUGGUGGAGAAGCAGCUGGAGGGUUCGGGGUUAGAAAUACCAUCUGAGCACAGGGAGGACAAAACAGAAAUUUUGGUGGAGAAUGAGGUGGAGAACAAAGCUGGAGAUGUUGAAGAAGAAUUAAAGGAGAUUUUAAAAGAAUUAGUUGAAAUGACUAUAGGAAGAAUAGAGGAGGAUCAAGAAAAACACCUUGCACAGCCACAGGAGUCCGAUAUUCAAGGAAAAGAUACCAGAGAAGGAGGGAAAAUGGGGGUUGAGGAGGAAAUAAACAUGACGGAAAAAGAUGAAACUGGUGCAAAGUUGGGGGAUCAGUUAAAAUCAGAGGAGAACCCAGGUGAAGAAGAGGAGAAAAUGUUGGUUUUUGAUGCAGAGGAGGUAGAGAUUUUAGAGUCUGGGGGUAUAGAGAUAGAGCACAAGGGAGAUGAAGAGAGGUUAGACAAUACACAAAUCAAGGUUAGGGAUAAUUUAUCUGCUCUGGUUGAGCAGUUGAAAGUUGAAAUGACUAUAAGAAGAAUAGAGGAAGAUCAAGAAAAACACCUUGCACAGCCACAGGAGGCUGAUAUUCAAGUGAAAGAUACCAGAGAUGGAGGGAAAAUGGGGAUUGAGGAGGAAAUAAACAUGACGGAAAAAGAUGAAUCUGGUGUGAAGUUGGGGGAUCAGUUAAAAUCAGAGGAGAACCCAGGUGAAGAAGAGGAGAAAAUGUUGUUUUUUGAUGCAGGGGAGGUAGAGAUUAAAGAGUCUGGGGGUAUAGAGAUAGAGCACAAGGGAGAUGAAGAGAAGUUAGAUAAUACACAACACAAGGUUAGGGAUAAUUUAUCUGCUCUGGUGAACAAUAUGCAUGAGGAUACCGAUGGCAGAGCUAUUGACAGAGAAGAUACAGGGGAAGGGCAAACUGCACAUACACCACCUGAAAUGAAUCUAUGCAAAGAGGAGAAUUUUCAUAGCAAUGAAAAUAUUACACAUGACCCAUCCGAAGCUGUGAGACAUGAGGAUGAGUGUACUUAUGCAGAGGGAGGUUCGUGUCUUCUAACAGAUGAACCUGAAACUGACAAAACAAGCGACGACAGCACUUCAUCAGAGUCCGGAUCAGACGACGAGGUGGAACUGUACAUGCACUGUCUGAGGGCUGUCCACGGGCAGAACAGCUUCGCACAGACCGCCAGAGACCAGAACAAAGAUAAAGAGUUCAGUGUUGGCAAGAGACUUUCUGGAAGCAGAAGCAAACCACUGUCCACAUCCCUGCCAUCCAUCAGCGAGUCUCUGGAUGAGGAACAACACCUCAGCCAACUUCAGGACAGUCAUGAAGAUACGGAGACAGCAGAUUUCCAACCCACUGCUGCAGCUCUGUCAGCGUCAAGUGGAGAGGAAAACAUCAACAGAAACACUUCGUGGUGGAAAGAGACUUUCUCUUGCAGCAAUAUCUCAAAAACAUUGCUAUACGCCACCUUGUUAGUGUUAUUUUUAGCUGUAGCUUACCAUUAUGAUUUUCUUGCCUGUUUUGGGCUGUAUUUAAUAUCAGUGGUUUGGCUGUGCUGUCAAGGAGAGAGGCAGCCGGUUAAAAACAACAACAGAGUAGGUUGAAUUAAAUUGUAAAAACUCACUUUCAGUUGUGUUUCAACAUGCUUGUGGCAGAUGUCAACAUAAAACUUAACUGUAGUAUUUUUUAGCAACAAAUUAACAUAUCAUAUAAAGUUUUCCUUGAUCUUAAGAAAAUUAAGAAAACCUAUGGGCAUUGAACUCAAAAUAAUAUAACACAUAUCAGAAAAAAAAUGCUGUUUAUUCCCUAUGGGACGAUGUUAACUCUGUUGUUAAGAGUAAGAACCAAUUUUCUUUAUGCUUUACUGUAUAUAAAAUGCAUGUCAACUCAGCCCACAAGCUGCGGACCAUUAUUCACACUCGUCUGUUCUGUUUGUACAUGGAUUAAAUUUCAAUCACUGCACUUUGUCAAUGAAAGCAAUAUUAUGAGUGAAAAUAGAAUU